rnacentral:rRNA from 1 species
AUCCACUGUCGAUUACCCUGAACGUGCUGAUCUGGUCUGAUCUCAGAAGCUAAACAGGGUUGGGCCUGGAAGACCAAACUGAAUAAUUUGAAGCCCAAAUGGAUU